rnacentral:lncRNA from 1 species
CAAAACUUGAUAGCCCACAUAUGGUUCAAACUAUUGCCAUUUUUUACAAACUUUCAAUAUGUCCUCAUAUGUGCACACGAUCUUCAUAUAUUUAAUUUCGGAAAAUCCUACACCUGUUCUUUACCAGAGAGCUUGGCUUGCUAACAUAAAUGGCAGUAGGUUCAAGUAUGCUGCUUCAACAUGCAGCGGCUCCAAUCUCAUUUAUUGCAAGCGAUUAGCUUUUCCAACUUCCUUGUCAAGUUCCCUCCUUGUGCACGUCAGUAUUCUGUCGCAGAAAUACAUCACAUCCUCACGAUGCCUAUUUGCAGCCUUAAGUUGCUCAUCAUCCACCCCGACUCAGCACCUGAACCUCUGACAUUACGUUCAGCACCCUGAUUGUUGCCCUUCCCAACUACAAAACUGGCAAACCGAAUGUCAUGCACGGGACAACAGACCAGAAUGCCAUUGCAAAAUUAUAUGCUUUAUACCUUGAUGCUCAGGUUGGAUGUUCCCUAUUGGAUUAACAUACUCUUGACUGCCAUUGCCACCUGAUGCACCUGAAGCAUGGGUGCCUGGGUGCCUACACAGGCAUUCCAAAGUUGCAUCAAAUAGGUUUCUAACUGUCUUGCUCACCAUUUUACAAAACAUUUUGCCAUAUGUCAAAAUAAUCUCCCAAUGGUUUCAAAUGCCACGCACCUCCUGCUGCAUGACCUCCUCGAAGAUUAGCUGCACACGAAGACUCCCCUGCAGCCCUAA